GACGGAGGAUGCAAGCGUUAUCCGGAGUUACUGGGCGUAAAGGGCAUGCAGGCGGUCCGACGCGUUUUGUGUGACAGCGGGUGGCUUAACUACCCGAGGAUACGAAAGACGGUUGGACUUGAGGACUCGAGAGGGACACGGAAUUCCGGGUGGAGUGGUGAAAUGCGUAGAGAUCCGGAGGAACACCGAAGGCGAAGGCAGUGUCCUGGCGAGUGACUGACGCUGAGGUGCGAAAGCCAGGGGAGCGAACGGG
rnacentral:rRNA from 1 species